CCUACGGGUGGCUGCAGUGGGGAAUAUUGGACAAUGGGGGGAACCCUGAUCCAGCCAUGCCGCGUGUGUGAAGAAGGCCCUCGGGUUGUAAAGCACUUUCAGUGAGGAAGAACGCCUGGUGGUUAAUACCCAUCAGGAAAGACAUCACUCACAGAAGAAGCACCGGCUAACUCCGUGCCAGCAGCCGCGGUAAUACGGAGGGUGCGAGCGUUAAUCGGAAUUACUGGGCGUAAAGCGCGCGUAGGUGGCUUGAUAAGCCGGUUGUGAAAGCCGCGGGCUCAACCUGGGAACGGCAUCCGGAACUGUCAAGCUAGAGUGCAGGAGAGGAAGGUAGAAUUCCCGGUGUAGCGGUGAAAUGCGUAGAGAUCGGGAGGAAUACCAGUGGCGAAGGCGGCCUUCUGGACUGACACUGACACUGAGGUGCGAAAGCGUGGGUAGCAAACAGGAUUAGAUACCCUAGUAGUC
rnacentral:rRNA from 1 species